ACGGGAGGCAGCAGUGGGGAAUAUUGGACAAUGGAGGCAACUCUGAUCCAGCGACGCCGCGUGAGUGAAGAAGUAUUUCGGUAUGUAAAGCUCUAUCAGCAGGGAAGAUAAUGACGGUACCUGACUAAGAAGCCCCGGCUAACUACGUGCCAGCAGCCGCGGUAAUACGUAGGGGGCAAGCGUUAUCCGGAUUUACUGGGUGUAAAGGGAGCGUAGGCGGCCAGACAAGUCAGAUGUGAAAGCCCGGGGCUCAACUCCGGUACUGCAUUGGAAACUGUCGAACUAGAGUGUCGGAGGGGUAAGUGGAAUUCCUAGUGUAGCGGUGAAAUGCGUAGAUAUUAGGAGGAACACCAGUGGCGAAGGCGGCUUACUGGACGAUAACUGACGCUGAGGCUCGAAAGCGUGGGGAGCAAACAGGAUUAGAUACCCUGGUA
rnacentral:rRNA from 1 species